UACAGAGGGUGCGAGCGUUGUCCGGAAUCACUGGGCGUAAAGGGCGCGUAGGCGGCCUGAUAAGUCGGGGGUGAAAUCCUGUGGCUUAACCACAGGGCUGCCUCCGAGACUGUCGGGCUCGAGCACAGUAGAGGCAGGUGGAAUUCCAGGUGUAGCGGUGAAAUGCGUAGAUAUCUGGAGGAACACCGGUGGCGAAGGCGGCAUCCUGGACCAUUACUGACACUGAAAAGCGAAAGCCAGGGGAGCAAACGGG
rnacentral:rRNA from 1 species